UUGGCCAUAACUUGCCGGAGAUUUCACGUGGUGGGACCUGUGCUGCCAGGGACGUACAUAUACUUGCUUGGACUGGCUACUCCCAAGUCUUGAACACCAUAAAAUGACUACAACACAAAAAGUAAAACUGAAAACAGAUAGUGGAAGAUCAUUCCAAGAAGCCUAGACAGAAUCACUUGGAGUGAUUAUACACAAUAAGGAAGCGAUAAAGCCAAAUUUGAAGACCUUGAUAUUUUCUGCUUCUACUGGUUAGAUUUUGGAAAUCUGGAAAUGGAGCUAUUGGAAUUUCAAGAAAGCGCUAUCUGGAAAAUUAAACACUCUGACCUGCACGUAACACUUGAGAAGAUGGAGUAUAAAGGAAGGAUGAAGACAGCACAGAGGGUAGUUCUGAAAGUGAAAUCCUGGACAUGUGAAUUCUCUGCCAAAUAAUUUUGGGUCAAUGAAAGCACUUGGGAUUGAUUUUCUUACUUUGUUUGGAUCAUCUCAUGCUUAUGAGCAGCUGUUUCCUUAGUAUCAAAUCUGAUCUCAGCAUCAGGCUAACACGUGACGUGAUUCCUGCAUGUGUUGCAUUCAAACUCUAACAAAGUGUGAGCCAAGGUUUGAGUUAUCAGUGUGUCCACGACCGCAAAGAUCAUGUCAUUGUGCAAAAGCACACCUAAUGCAAACUGUUACUUUCCAGUAAAAAGCUGUAUCAUUCAAAGCUCUGUCAUUAUGUUUUUCUGUUAAGAUUAAUGUAUGAGUUGUUUUUUCUAAAUGAAAACCUCAGUAUUCAGAUUAAAUUGCAGUGUUGGCCCCUGCCUUAAGUGGGUUUGGAGUGCACUUUGAGCACUCAGUCUCUAAAAGGUUUGCCCUCACUGCCUUAGCAGUUCCUGGGAAGGAGGAACCUCUGCUCUGUGCCAGUCCUCUGGUCUCUCAUGGUUCCUAGAGACAACCAUGAAGCCGCUCUUGGAAGGUUUCCUCCUACCUUCUAAUCCCUGAUCAGCAUAUUAUCAGACGUUUUAUAGUUUGUGCUAUGAGCUUUUGAAAAAUUUGUUUUGUCUAUCUGGGCCUUAGCAGUUUUUAAGGGAAGAAACAGCAGAGUGUUCAGUCAAAUAGAAAAUGAUAAUUCCACAAGGAGCUGUGUAUGUGCCUUUUAUGAAAUAUAACUAAUUUCUACUGAUGUUAGUCAGGCAACCUGUGAUCUUCAUAGAGCCUGUGUUUGCUCGGUAUUUUACAUACUGCACAGCAUGUUAUCACGUUGAAAAAUGUCUAGUAAUACUUGACAUAUUAUGUACUGCAACU